AAAGAAAUAACAAGGAUUCCCCUAGUAACGGCGAGUGAAGCGGGAAGAGCUCAAAUUUGAAAUCUGGUGGCCUCAGGUCAUCCGAGUUGUAAUCUAUAGAAGUGUUUUCCGUGCUGGCUCAUGUACAAGUCCCUUGGAACAGGGCGUCAUAGAGGGUGAGAAUCCCGUCCUUGACAUGAACUACCAGUGCUCUGUGAUACAUUUUCAACGAGUCGAGUUGUUUGGGAAUGCAGCUCAAAAUGGGUGGUAAAUUCCAUCUAAAGCUAAAUAUUGGCGAGAGACCGAUAGCGAACAAGUACCGUGAGGGAAAGAUGAAAAGCACUUUGGAAAGAGAGUUAAACAGUAUGUGAAAUUGUUAAAAGGGAAACGAUUGAAGUCAGUCGUGCUCUUUGGAUUCAGCCGGUUCUGCCGGUGUACUUCCUUUGAGUGGGGUCAACAUCAGUUUUGAUCGCUGGAUAAAGGCUGGAGGAACGUAGCACCCUCGGGUGAACUUAUAGCCUCCUGUCACAUACAGUGGUUGGGACUGAGGAACGCAGCACGCCUUUAUGGCCGGGAUUCGUCCACGUACGUGCUAGGAUUGAUCU
rnacentral:rRNA from 1 species